CUGGAAAUUAUUUUAUUGUUAUUUUAAUACGUUUAUUAUUACAGUGAACCAUACUUACUGUUCUGUACACCUAAUACAGGUUACUAAAGGUAAUGGGCAGUGAUACCAUUAACAUGUUACUUAGUAAGCGACAAUCAAGUCACGUUUUCAGCAUGAGAUCUCGUGGUGUGGCUGUAAUAAAAAGAAUAAAAGUGAAUAUUUAAAGAUAAUAAUACAAAAAAAGCACCAUAUUAGAACAUUCUCCUGGCAGGAGUGUAGGUAGUGUGGGGGAAAAUCAACAUUUAUUCCAUGUAUUCCUGAUUUACUUCAUGUAUUCAUAAUCAAUUAUACUGAUUAUUCCUGUUAAUCAUUCAAUAUUCAUCCUGUUAAUCAUUCAAUCAGUAUUUUAUCAUUGAGUGUUAUGUGAACUUAUAUUCUCUGAUAAGGCCAUUCAUUCAGACUUAAGGGCAAAGAUUAUAAAAGCAGGGGUUUGCCUGGAAACUGUUUUGUCAUAGUAAAAUAGAGCUUUCUGAUUCAUGAAUUAUUCUCUCCUAAAAAGCUUAUCUUCUGGUACGUGCAGUUUCUGUUCCUCUUUUUAUAUUUGGUAGUGAUCUGUUCCAAACAGAUCACGAGUUUGGCAUUGCCUCAUGUAUGCAAGGGGGACUGUAUAAAAAUGCCCAGUCGACACAGAAACGGGGCUUUUUCCGACUUUCCUGACUACUCUCAUUCUUCAUCCAUUGCUUUCGCUUUAUUUUUGCUUUUUGCAACUUCAAAAUAAAAACCUUCUCUUUUUGGCAUCCCGGCUCGUUGACUGUCUUUGUCGAUUUCCACGACAAAUUGGCGUCCCUGCGGUGGGCUGCUCGUGCACCGGGACCUCUAGACCCUGCAAGAAAAGCGGAGGACGCUCUUGGGUUAAAAAAAAAGAAACCCAACCUUAGAACCUCAACUGUUUUUUAGAGGAAAAGGCGUUUUCUCUGGGGGUCGAGGGGUGUCCGGGGCCGCUGCAGCCGCACCACGUGUGAGUAUAUUUUUAUAUCUUUCUUCGUCUGGCUUGAGCCCCCUGGCACACAGUCUGAGUUGAUGUGAAGAGGUUAGAGGCAAAAGGAGGAACCUGUAAAUUUUUUUUGGUGCUGUGUGUUUGCCUCAAUCCAAGAUUUGGGGCAUAGCCCAGAAAAAACUGGUUCCUGGGGCCGGAUAACCCGCCUUUGUAUGACGAUAUUUAAAGGUUAAAGAUUUUUUCCCCUGGUUUUUUGUGAGAAAACGGAGGGCACAGUCUGACGGGGCUGUGAGCACAUAGGCACAGCGAUAGAGUCGCGAACCUGCUGGUAAAGAAAAAUGGAUCGAUCCCUCAUCUGUGUGUUGAGAGCGGGGGGUUUCGGGCCAGAGGGGAAACUUUGUUAAAGUACAUUUUUCUAAGGGGAAAUGAACGGGGAUGCCGAAAGACAAGUGUCUUAUAAAUUUUUUUUUGCUAUCUAAUUUUUUUUGGCUUUGCUCCGCACCGCUUCCGUUUUUUUUCUCACUUCUAAAUUUUUCUGUCUGGUUUUUAUCCUCUCGUCUUUUCCUGUUUAGAGUGAGUGAAACAGAAGUGUGUGCGACAGUGCGACUGACAGAGAGGAAAAGAAAAGGGUGUACGAGUGUCUGUUAAAGGGAUUAAAAGUGUACCUGUGAGUGUGAAAGUGUGCGGGUCCAGUUUUCCUGAGAGAGAAACAGAAAAUGUGUAUCUUGUGUUGGCGGAGAGAAAGAAUGUGUGUGUGGCAGUGAGUGAGAAAGUGUAUGGCAGCGAAUUAAAGAGUGUGUGUAAGGCAGGGUGAGUGAAACUGUGCGAGAGCGGGGCUGAUUGAGUGUACGAAGUCGUGAGUGACAACGAAAUAGGAAAUGGAUGAGUCCCACUGCAGGGGAGGAGUCCAAGGUGAAGUAGGUGGAGUUGGUCCAGCCCAUUGGUUUUAGACUGAGAGGUUGGUUAUUUGUGAAUUAACGCAUGUGAGAUAUCAUAGAAAAUAGAACAUAAGUUCAGUAGGGAAAUAGAAUAAUACACAGUGAAAACAGGAGAAAAGGCUUUUGUAUGGGUAGAUAUAUAUAUAUAUAUAUAUAUAUAAGAAAAUAUAAGGAUAUAAAAAACCUAACUAUACAAGGUAAAGAUCUAUCUGUAAACGGAGCAGUGCAGUAGAUGUUACUAAUGGUCAUAAAUAAUUAAAUAAUUAACAGAGUAAAGUGCAAUGACAUCUAUUAUGACAGUGACUAAUGUGAAAUAGAAAUAUAAUAUAAUAUACAUAUGCAUACGCUAUAAGACAGUUCUAAAAUAAAAAUGUGAAAAUGUGGAUACCCAAUCAUGAGUACAGUGUACUUUAAUGUAAGCAAGGUUGGGAAAAAUGUUAAUAUAAAUAAUUAAGUUGUUGAAUAAUGUCGGAGAGGUAUGUGACUGGAUAGAAUUUAUAGAAUUUAAUAAAGGGAUUAUGGGGUUGGUUAGCAAAACAAAUUAAAAAUAAAAGUAACUGGAAAUUCCAAAAUAUACUAUGCCAUGCAGUACUGCUGUGUAAGAUGUCCUCAGAGCAGGACAAAUAAACAUGGUUUCUUGUUUGAUUGUUAAAUAAAUAAGUUUAAUAAAUAGAAAAUGCUACAUAGUGAAUAGUGAAUGAGUUAAUGAGUGAGCCAUUCCAAACACAGCUUUUUAUCAGGUGAUUUAGUCAAUUAUCUUACUAUUCGUUUCUCAUUCAGACUGAUCUCAGUUCAGUCCUAGCUGAAUGAGACUUAUAUAAGACGGAUGUAAUAUCUAAUUUCUCUAUGUUACAUUUUGAUCCUCAUAAGAGGGAUAGUUGAUUUCAGAAACCAAUGAGAAAAGACCUUAUUUAUUUGAAAAUGAGGGUCUUUCUCAUUUUAAAUAAGGGGAAAUAAAAUGUGUUUGAAAAUGCAGCUCUCUGUUUUGCUUUACAGUAUUAAAUUAGACUAGAAAGAGAUCUGGAAAACGGCAUAGAUUUAGUUUUCAUGCUUAUACAAUGCCACCUAUAAAACAAAUGCAUAAUUUUCUGGCUGUAGCAUGAACAAAAUCAGCUAAGCAAUAUAAAAUUGUUUCAUCUGCAUAAUGGUAAAGUUUGCAAUCUGAAGAAGCAGAGCCAGUAAUAUAAUUUAUAUAUAUAUAUUAAAUAAAACUGGACCAAACUUUAACCUUGUGGUACAUCUGUGAGAUACAGAUGCCAAAUCUGAAUAAUUAUUCAUUGACAUGCACUCUUUUGGGUCUAUUCCAGAGCAGUGUUAUCAAAGCAAAUAAUUUAAGCUAAAUUCAGUGGGAGAGAAAGGGUGAUACUGAUGGUAAUAAGGAAAAUCUGUAUACAAUAAUAACAAAUAAUAAACCAUGGGUACUCGGUGCCUUGCACAGGCUUUCACAGUAAACACCAGAGUGUGAGUUUGUGACAGUGUGACAUACCUGGGUUUGUGCUCCCUGCAGAAACACUACAGCACUGAAUGUUGAUGAAACAGUGCUGCUACGCUGUGUGUGGUUCAGUGGGCUAGGCUGGUUAGCCAAAGACGGGUAAGAUCCCAACAUAUUGCACAGGGACAACCUAAGACAGGCACAGUCUCGAUCUGACCACCACAUGCAUUUUAACAGAAAACGGAGAAAACAUCGUGGAAGGGAAGCGCAGCCCAGGGGGAGAGUGAGUGGAUGAAUGACGUGAUGGGGUGUGUGUUCAGUGGAGGCCUGGGCAGGGUAGACCAGCCCAAAAUGGACAGUAAAGAGGGUGAAGCAAUUUUGUGUUAAGUUCUCUGAAACAGAAAUUCUGUUUCAGAAAAAGGGGGAGAUUUAAAUAGAUGAUCAUUAUUACCACCAUUAUUUGCCCGAUAAUUAUUUUAUACUUUUUAUAAUAAUUAUUUUAUACUUAUUAUUAUUAUUAUUUUUUUUAAACCUAUUACCUUUUUCAUCCCUCACCACUAUUACUAAAAUUUUUUGACCAAUCAUUAUUUUAUAGAUAUAGAGCAUUUUUUAAACUUUUAGCUUGUUUAUCUUUUUAAAGUUUGGUUUUAAAACAACCUCUAUGCAGAUAAGCAAUUACUCUCAGCAAUAUUGUAACAGUCUUAACUUUAAGACACACCCAAUCCUAAUUUAAAAAGAAGAAAUAAGAAACUUAGAAAUCACAAAAUUGAACUUUCACUAUUCAACAUGUGAGCCACUUUUGGAGCAAGGGAAACAGUAAGUGGGAUUUGAUAAAUUGUUUAAGGAAAUAGAUGUAUUGUUGAUAAUUGUGAAAAGCAAUCUGCUUGGCAUUGUAUAUGCAUAAAUACAUAUUGAAAAUAUUGAAAAGUAAAUGUAAAGCAUUGCUCGGAUUUACUUGCUAUAAUAACGUGGACAAAGCAAAGCAUAACAUCUGUGUUUAUUAAUAUUGAUAAUAUUAUUGUUUGUAAUGGAACGAUUGAUACAGAGAAAAAUAAUCACUUUCCACUUAUCCCAAUUCUUAAAGUACUAAAUAAAAUCAACUAAAACUAGAAAUCAAGGCUUUAUAAAAAUCUUGGGAACUGAAUAAAGUCAGAAUCAUAAUUUCUUAAUAAAUAGCACACCGCAGAAAAUUAAAGUGGCAGGUAAAAUAAUAUAGCCACAAGCGGUGAUGCAAAAGUAAAAGCAAAAGUAACCCAAGAAAGCCCAGUACAUCAACAUGGACCCAUUCCUGACACAGAAGCUACAUUAUGUGUAGUUUGUGCAGAGUGUAAAACUUUGGGCCCUGAUAUUCUAUCAAUCAGUGUGGAGAUGAAUGGGAGAAUAGAGCAGCUGAUCAUUAAAACUUUGCAUGGAGCAAUGAUAAUAAACAUGAUUCAGAUAUAUUUCCAAAUGUUUGUUCCUUAUUUAUUAUCUAUGUAGUACUAUCAAUACAAUAUAAGAAGAUAUGCAGGAAGCAUUCAGUGGUAGGUUUAACAGCAGGUGCGUUUAAAGCAGCAGCUUUGGGCUGUGAAGCAGUAAAAUAUGGUCUGUACAAUGAUGGUGCAGAAUUGAGGUGUGUGAUCUUUAACUUUGGUAGUGUUUGUGAGAAUGGAAGUAGAAGUGUUUGAGUUUGUUUAUGUGUACUUGUGUGGGUGAAGUUGUGUGUGUGUGUUUGUGUGUGUGCAUGAGACAUAGUGUGUGUCUAGUGGUAAACUAAGUGUUUGUAAAAGCUAAUUUGGCUAUAAGAGAUUAGUUAUAGCCAUGGGGAAGCAGUUACACUGAAAGGGAAAGGGAUGUGAACAAAAGUAAGGUAAAAGCCAGUAAUUAAUGGUGAUGAUAAUUAAAUGUUGCAAUUUAAAAUUUGAAAAUGACUAAAUGUUAGGGAUUUAAAGCACUUUUGACAAGUAAAGAUCAUGAUUGAGUAUAACUGAAAAUAGGACAACCGAAGAAGGUAAGAAAACAAAAUUGGGCUGAAAAUCUGUGCACAGACAAAAUUUAAAUAUGAAAUAAUUAACUUCCAAGGGAAAUUAGAGCUCAAGUUAAGUGUGAUAAAUGUAUUUUAACCAUGUAUUUUAACUUGCAGGAAGGAGACACGGAGGACCCCUUAACAGACUUCCAAAAUGAAUAGAGAACCUUAAACAUGAUUAUAACGAAUCGAAAGUCUUGUUUCAGAUCUGUUUACACAGGGGGAGAAGGAGAACGUGGUGCAAAGGUGGACCAGUCCAGACACAGAGUGAGGGCUACUCCGCCAUUGCGCACGAAAGGGGAACGAGCAUGGCUGGAUUGAGCCUUUCCAGGUGACUGAGAGAACAACGCACGCAGAUCAACUGAAAGGCGAGGGUUCUACAGCUGUACAACAACAGAGAUCGCUCACAGAGCAAGCGGGAGGAGACGAGACAGCAGCAGCUGAAUCGUCUGACUCAGACGAAGGCCGCAGCAGGAAGGAGGGGCAGCUGAAAUUGCACAGCACACAGCAGGGGCGUCAGUGCCUGGCUGUGACCGAGGAGCGAAAUUGAGGAAGUAACUCAUUCAGCAACGUUUCGUUUGCGUCAAAGUACACUACAUACAGAGACUCUUAAACACAUCUCAUUAAAAACACACAUAGUCUUAUCACACACCAACUCAUACUUUUCAUUCACUGAUGUGGGGCUGAGGUAGUCUACGAGAAAAAGGAAGCCAAACCACUAUAGACGAUGAUUUUCAUGUAUUUUUUUCCUUGUUGCUCUGGGAGCAGGACAACAGCAGGACAUUGUGCAUUUGACCAUCACAGAUAUCAUUGUAAUCAGCAUUUAUGUGUUGAAAAUUAUUAUUAUUAUUAUUAUUAUUUUUUUUUCUUAUUGUUUAAUCAAAAUGAAAAUUUUUGAUUAAAAGGGGGGAAAUGUGGGGGAAAAUCAACAUUUAUUCCAUGUAUUCCUGAUUUACUUCAUGUAUUCAUAAUCAAUUAUACUGAUUAUUCCUGUUAAUCAUUCAAUAUUCAUCCUGUUAAUCAUUCAAUCAGUAUUUUAUCAUUGAGUGUUAUGUGAACUUAUAUUCUCUGAUAAGGCCAUUCAUUCAGACUUAAGGGCAAAGAUUAUAAAAGCAGGGGUCUGCCUGGAGACUAGCGGGUCAUAGCAAAUGGUGUUUUCUGAUUUAUGAAUUAUUCUCUCCUCAAGGAAUGAAAAUCAGGUUUGCCUGGAAACUGUUUUGUCAUAGUAAAAUAGAGCUUUCUGAUUCAUGAAUUAUUCUCUCCUAAAAAGCUUAUCUUCUGGUACGUGCAGUUUCUGUUCCUCUUUUUAUAUUUGGUAGUGAUCUGUUCCAAACAGAUCACGAGUUUGGCAUUGCCUCAUGUAUGCAAGGGGGACUGUAUAAAAAUGCCCAGUCGACACAGAAACGGGGCUUUUUCCGACUUUCCUGACUACUCUCAUUCUUCAUCCAUUGCUUUCGCUUUAUUUUUGCUUUUUGCAACUUCAAAAUAAAAACCUUCUCUUUUUGGCA